UUGCCUUUACCGCACACAUGUCAGAUUGGGCCGAUAGAAGAUUAGCAUGGCCCCUGCACUAGGAUGACACACAAACUCAUGAAGGAACUGAGAUAAAA
rfam:Canis lupus familiaris chromosome 18, whole genome shotgun sequence.